GUACACGCUGUGACUAGCAUAUCAAUAAGCGGAGGAAAAGAAACUAACAAGGAUUCCCCUAGUAACGGCGAGUGAAGCGGGAAGAGCUCAAAUUUGAAAUCUUAAAGGGUUUCCCUUUACGAAUUGUAGUUUAAAGAAGUGUUUUCUGUUGAGGUUUUGGUAAAAGUUCUUUGGAAUAGGACAUCAUAGAGGGUGAGAAUCCCGUAUUUGACCUUUACUUUCAACUUUGUGAUACACUUUCAAAGAGUCGGAUUGUUUGGGAAUGCAGUCCAAAAUGGGUGGUAAAUUUCAUCUAAAGCUAAAUAUUGGCGAGAGACCGAUAGCGAACAAGUACCGUGAGGGAAAGAUGAAAAGAACUUUGAAAAGAGAGUUAAACAGUACGUGAAAUUGUCAAAAGGGAAGCGUUUGACACCAGUGUUGUUUUUCUGAAAAUCAAUUAAAGAACUGUUUAUGCUAAGCUGUUUAGACAUUAUCAGCUAUCUGUUUAGUUUUGAGCUUUUCUUUAAUGCACUUUUCAGUUAACAAGUCAACAUCAAUUUCUUUUGCUGUAAAAAAGCUUGAGGAAGGUGGCUUGAGAUUCGUCUUAAGUGUUUAUAGCCUCUUGCCUAUGCAGUCGGAGAGAUUGAGGUCUGCAGCGUAGAUCCUUCGGGGCUAAAUGCAUUUGUGCUAAGUUAUAGCAUUUUAUAGACAACUUGUUGACUAUGAUUUGUCUUGUAGCUUACUCGCUUAUGUUAUUUUACCUACGCUUAGGAUGUUGAAGAUGUAGCACAUCAU
rnacentral:rRNA from 1 species